GCCGGGAUGGCGGAAUUGGUAGACGCACGGGACUCAAAAUCCCGCGUUGGAAACAACGUGCCGGUUCGAUUCCGGCUCCCGGCACCA
rnacentral:tRNA from 1 species